rnacentral:rRNA from 1 species
UACGUAGGUGGCGAGCGUUGUCCGGAUUUACUGGGCGUAAAGGGAGCGUAGGCGGACUUUUAAGUGAGAUGUGAAAUACCCGGGCUCAACUUGGGCGCUGCAUUUCAAACUGGAAGUCUAGAGUGCAGGAGAGGAGAAUGGAAUUCCUAGUGUAGCGGUGAAAUGCGUAGAGAUUAGGAAGAACACCAGUGGCGAAGGCGAUUCUCUGGACUGUAACUGACGCUGAGGCUCGAAAGCGUGGGGAGCAAACAGGAUUAGAUACCCCUGUA